CAUGUAGGCGGUUUGUUAAGUUGGAUGUGAAAGCCCCGGGCUCAACCUGGGAACUGCAUCCAAAACUGGCAAGCUAGAGUACGGUAGAGGGUGGUGGAAUUUCCUGUGUAGCGGUGAAAUGCGUAGAUAUAGGAAGGAACACCAGUGGCGAAGGCGACCACCUGGACUGAUACUGACACUGAGGUGCGAAGGCGUGGGGAGCAAACA
rnacentral:rRNA from 1 species